rnacentral:RNase_P_RNA from 1 species
ACUGCGGGCGAGACGAUCGCCGGCCGAAGCUUCGCCGAGGCGGGAGGAAAGUCCGGGCUCCACAGGACGCGGCGGUGGGUAACUCCCACCGGUCGAAAGACCAGGGCAAGUGCAACAGAAAGCAAACCGCCGGGCGCGCCGCGCAAGCGGUCGUCAGGUAAGGGUGAAACGGUGAGGUAAGAGCUCACCAGCAGGUCGGGCGACCGAUCUGGCUAGGUAAACCCCGCCGGGAGCAAGGCCAAACAGGGAGCAGGAUCGGUCCGGUCCGCUACGACUUCCGGGUAGGCUGCUCGAGGCGUCCGAGCAAUCGGCGCCCUAGAGGAAUGAUCGUCGCCCACGUCGCGAGACGCGGGAACAGAACCCGGCUUAUCAGCCCGCGGUAGAG